GCCGAUGUAGCUCAACGGUAGAGCAGCUGAUUUGUAAUCAGCGGGUUGGAGGUUCGAGCCCUCUCAUCGGCUCUA
rnacentral:tRNA from 1 species